UCAAGCAGCGACCCGGCGUCAGCUUGACGGCGUGGACUGUCAGGAUAUCAUCCUGAUGUGUGGUGAUCAAUUCAGUCAUGGUCUGGUCUGGCACAACUAUAUUUCAACGGAGGUAGGAGACACUCAUGAGGCAAGAUCACUUCACAAGGGCUGUUAUAGCAAAGAAAAUCGCUAGGUCUGCAAUUCUGGAUCAAAGAGAAAAGAUCCAAAUUCGUUGAUGGAGUUAGAGCUUCCGUACAGCAGAGUCUUAGGUAAUUUAUGUUCUGACCAAGAUUUUACUGCAGAACCAAAUAUGAAUGCUUAAUCUGAGCUAUUUCUCACUCAGUUUCCUCUAGGUCUCUACCAAUUAUUGUUUUUCUUUUGAGGUGGAUGCAGCUGCUGGUCACACUUUAACCACACGUCAAUUGCACGAGUGGUGUAGCGCCAUCCUGUACCACAAAUCAUGCGAAGAAUGAUGGGUGGUGUAAUCCUAUGCUAGCUAUAGUGCUAGACUGAUUUCAGAAACUCUUGGAGCUCAUCUUUUGGCCUGAAACACCAAGAACUAACCUGCCACCGCACUGACUACUGAUUAAUACAAAGGAGUUCAUUUGAUCCAUCUGAUAAAAUACCUAUUGGCGAAUAAGCAUGAAAAGUAAUCACCCACUCUUUAGUGGAAUUCGGGUAUGCCCGCUCAUCUAUUUAUUUGUCUGUUGUUAUAGAUAGGUUCAUCCGGGUCUGAAAUGUUAAUGGAGUUGUUUCAUUCCUCACACAAUCCCUUCCAAUUGGAUCAGUUCUCCUUUUUGAAUUACUCUAUAUUCCAUACAUAUAUGUUUAUUAUGUUAAUUGAGACUUUAGAGCAAGAUAUUUAUUUUGUUGAUAUUACCUUCAAGGGAACAUGGUACCUACGAUGC